AGCAGCAGAAGGGAAAGGGGAGCAUGGAGAUGGAGGACAGGAUCCAGAGGAUGAGCAGUGGCUUAAUGUCAAGCAACAGUAUGCUCUGAGUUGAAGGAAGAGUACUACCCCAAGGACCACAGAGUCAAAACAGAUGAUCGAUGCCAAGGAAGUCAGGACUGUUUCAUCAUGUGCAUCUUGCAGUACAGCAGCAGUGUACAGUAGUAUACCUGAGACCACAAAAUGCCCCAUGGUGGAGUUUGUUCUCCUGGCACCUGCUGUGGACUGUGGAAAAGUCAGGUCUGCGAGUACUUUGUGCUAUUCAAAAAUGGGAAACUAAGACAUGGGAAGUGAUUUGCCAAUUGUACUGGAAAUUUUUUGUGUGCAAUCAUGGGCAGAGCCAUCUCU